rnacentral:rRNA from 1 species
UACGUAGGGGGCUAGCGUUGUCCGGAUUUAUUGGGCGUAAAGAGCGUGUAGGCGGCCAGGUAGGUCUGCUGUGAAAACUCGAGGCUUAACCUCGAGAUGUCGGCGGAAACCAUCUGGCUAGAGUCCGGAAGAGGAGAGUGGAAUUCCUGGUGUAGCGGUGAAAUGCGUAGAUAUCUGGAGGAACACCGGUGGCGAAGGCGGCAUCCUGGACCGACACUGACGCUGAGGAGCGAAAGCCAGGGGAGCAAACGGG